rnacentral:misc_RNA from 1 species
GGUGAAGAACGCAGCGAAAUGCGAUAAGUAAUGUGAAUUGCAGAAUUCAGUGAAUCAUCGAAUCUUUGAACGCACAUUGCGCCCCUUGGUAUUCCGAGGGGCAUGCCUGUUCGAGCGUCAUUAUAACCCCUCAAGCUCAGCUUGGUGUUGGGGCCUGCUGCACUGGCAGCCCUUAAAAUCAGUGGCGGCGCCAUCUGGCUCUAAGCGUAGUAAUUCUUCUCGCUAUGGAGUCCUGGUGGAUGCUUGCCAUCAACCCCCAAUUUUUCUAUGGUUGACCUCGGAUCAGGUAGGGAUACCCGCUGAACUUAAGCAUAUCAAUAGGCGGAGGA